UACGUAGGGGGCAAGCGUUGUCCGGAAUCAUUGGGCGUAAAGAGCGUGUAGGCGGCCCGAUAAGUCCGCCGUGAAAGUCCAGGGCUCAACCCUGGAAUGCCGGUGGAAACUGUCGGGCUGGAGUCCGGAAGAGGCGAGUGGAAUUCCUGGUGUAGCGGUGAAAUGCGCAGAUAUCAGGAAGAACACCCGUGGCGAAGGCGGCUCUCUGGGACGGUACGUGACGCUGA
rnacentral:rRNA from 1 species